rnacentral:rRNA from 1 species
CCUACGGGCGGCAGCAGUGAGGAAUAUUGGUCAAUGGACGAGAGUCUGAACCAGCCAAGUAGCGUGAAGGAUGACUGCCCUAUGGGUUGUAAACUUCUUUUAUAUGGGAAUAAAAUGUUCCACGUGUGGGAUUUUGUAUGUACCAUAUGAAUAAGGAUCGGCUAACUCCGUGCCAGCAGCCGCGGUAAUACGGAGGAUCCGAGCGUUAUCCGGAUUGAUUGGGUUUAAAGGGAGCGUAGGUGGAUUGUUAAGUCAGUUGUGAAAGUUUGCGGCUCAACCGUAAAAUUGCAGUUGAAACUGGCAGUCUUGAGUACAGUAGAGGUGGGCGGAAUUCGUGGUGUAGCGGUGAAAUGCUUAGAUAUCGCGAAGAACUCCGAUUGCGAAGGCAGCUCACUGGACUGCAACUGACACUGAGGCUCGAAAGUGUGGGUAUCAAACAGGAUUAGAUACCCGAGUAGUC